AUUGUCAUCAUAAUAUUAGUGGCGAACCGAGUUAGGCUGGAAACAGAGCAGCUCUAAGCUGAAUACUAAUAUGUAUGGUGACUUUUUU
rnacentral:SRP_RNA from 1 species